rnacentral:rRNA from 1 species
UACGUAGGGGUCUAGCGUUGUCCGGAAUUAUUGGGCGUAAAGAGCUCGUAGGCGGUUCGGCAAGUCGGAUGUGAAAUCUCCACGCUUAACGUGGAGGGGCCAUUCGAAACUGCCGUGACUCGAGUCCGGUAGGGGAGUUCGGAAUUCCAGGUGUAGCGGUGAAAUGCGUAGAUAUCUGGAGGAACACCGGUGGCGAAGGCGGCAUCCUGGACCAACACUGACACUGAGGAGCGAAAGCCAGGGGAGCAAACGGG